AGGGAAGCACUGUCCUACAUCAUAUGUGACAGGCUCUCAUAGUCACCAUCAUCACAGGAAUCUUGUGCAUGUUACAGGGAAGCACUGUCCUACAUCGUAUCUGACAGGCUCUCAUAGUCACCGUCAUCACGGGAAUCUUGCACAUGUUACAGGGAAGCACCGUCCUACAUCGUAUGUGACAGACUCUCAUAGUCACCAUCAUCAAGGGAAUCUUGUGCAUGUUACAGGGAAGCACUGUCCUACAUCAUAUGUGACAGGCUCUCAUAGUCACCAUCAUCACAGGAAUCUUGUGCAUGUUACAGGGAAG
rnacentral:lncRNA from 1 species